CCUACGGGUGGCAGCAGUGAGGAAUAUUGGUCAAUGGACGGAAGCCUGAACCAGCCAAGUAGCGUGAGGGAUGAAGGCCCUAUGGGUCGUAAACCGCUUUUGCACGGGGAUAACAUCCACCACGUGUGGAGGUUUGCAGGUACCGUAUGAAUAAGGGUCGGCUAAUUCCGUGCCAGCAGCCGCGGUAAUACGGAGGGUCCGAGCGUUAUCCGGAUUUUUUGGGUUUAAAGGGAGCGUAGGCGGGGGUUCAAGUCAGCUGUAAAAUGUCGCGGCUCAACCGCACACCGCAGUUGAUAAUGGGCGCCUUGAGUUCACCACAGGUAGGCGGAAUUCGUGGUGUAGCGGUGAAAUGCUUAGAUAUCACGAAGAACCCCGAUUGCGAAGGCAGCCUGCCGGAGUGCGACUGACGCUGAGGCUCGAAGGUGCGGGUAUCAAACAGGAUUAGAUACCCUAGUAGUC
rnacentral:rRNA from 1 species